rnacentral:rRNA from 1 species
AGGCUUAAAACAUGCAGUCGAGCGGGGAAGAGUAGCUUGCUACUUUACCUAGCGGCGGACGGGUGAGUAAUGCUUAGGAAUCUGCCUAUUAGUGGGGGACAACACCUCGAAAGGGAUGCUAAUACCGCAUACGUCCUACGGGAGAAAGCAGGGGACCUUCGGGCCUUGCGCUAAUAGAUGAGCCUAAGUCGGAUUAGCUAGUUGGUGGGGUAAAGGCCUACCAAGGCGACGAUCUGUAGCGGGUCUGAGAGGAUGAUCCGCCACACUGGGACUGAGACACGGCCCAGACUCCUACGGGAGGCAGCAGUGGGGAAUAUUGGACAAUGGGGGGAACCCUGAUCCAGCCAUGCCGCGUGUGUGAAGAAGGCCCUUUGGUUGUAAAGCACUUUAAGCGAGGAGGAGGCUACCGAGAUUAAUACUCUUGGAUAGUGGACGUUACUCGCAGAAUAAGCACCGGCUAACUCUGUGCCAGCAGCCGCGGUAAUACAGAGGGUGCAAGCGUUAAUCGGAUUUACUGGGCGUAAAGCGCGCGUAGGUGGCCAAUUAAGUCAAAUGUGAAAUCCCCGAGCUUAACUUGGGAAUUGCAUUCGAUACUGGUUGGCUAGAGUAUGGGAGAGGAUGGUAGAAUUCCAGUGUAGCGGUGAAAUGCGUAGAGAUCUGGAAGAAUACCGAUGGCGAAGCAGCCAUCUGGCCUAAUACUGACACUGAAGGUGCGAAAGCAUGGGGAGCAAACAGGAUUAGAUACCCUGGUAGUCCAUGCCGUAACGAUGUCUACUAGUCGUUGGGGCUUUGACGCUUUAGUGGCGCAGCUAACGCCGAUUAGUAGACCGGCUGGGGAGUACGGCCGCACGACUACAACUCUAAUGAAUUGACUGGGGCCCGCACA